UCCCUUGGAAGAGCUCCACCAGGUCCUUGAAGUCUGGGUCGAUGAGGUCUGAGGGCAGGUCUCCAUUGUCGUUGGCUGCGUCUCUGUCGGCCCCCAGGGAAAUGAGAGGCCACAAGUCCAAGAUCACGGUGUCAGCAGCUUGGUUCCUUCGGAGGGAGAAUCUGUUCCAGGCCCGUGUCCUGGCUUCUGGUGGUGGUCCUUGGUGUUCUCUGGCUCGUAGACACAUCGCACCAUCUCGGCCUUCACGUCCACAUCAUCUUCUCCCCGUGUGCAUGAUCACCGUCUGAGGUUCUGGGGGUUAACACCUCAACACAGGAAUAUUGGAGGGAUGCAGCUCAACCCGUGACAUUGAACCCUGGAUGAGGCUGCCAAAGGUGCAGCCCUUCCUGAGAGUGACCCGGCUUUGGGCUAGAGACAGGCCAAGCGCCAGCCUGUUGGCAACCCCGAUGAUGCACCCCUUGGUCCACCCAACUAAGCGAGGACAUGGACUGUCCUCUAAACCACGGGCAUGACCUGAGGCAUCUCAUUUGGAAACAUUCCGUCAGAAGCAGCGGUGAGCAUCUGACCUGAGAUUGUUCGCAAAGUCUAUCUCUCAUGCGACCACAGUAGAACCAAAACCUGUUUUGAUCCAGUUUGGUCCCUGACGCACGCAUGGACUCGUGGAGUGAUCUGGCUUGUACAAUGUUGGGCUUCUGCCUUGUAGAGGGACUAAAGCAAAGUAAGACAAUGAAUCCAAAAAGCUCACUCUGAAGAGUCCGAGGAACACAACUGGUCAGGCUUUGCGUCCGGCAGAAGCCAGGAGCUGGAGGGCCUGUUGGAGAAUGGGCGCAGGCCCCCAAGCAGGCCCCUUCCCUGCCAGCAGGCUUUGAGGCCGGAGGACCUCCAGGGGCUGGUGCACUUCCGGGACUGAAGCUUCUAAGCACCUGGAGAGAGCAGGAGAGAAGGGGGGCGGGGGGAGGAAGACAGGGAGGUUUGGGAUGUCCCGGGCUGUUAAGCCUUAACUGACCACCCUAAGCGUGCAAAGUUGCCUGCUAAUCCACCAGCCCUGCUAGGUUUUGGACCUCCACCCCACAGCCUCCAGCAGAUCCAGGCCCUGGAAUGUGCUAAUCAGCUGCCUCUAGAAAGAGGGAAGGUAUGGGUGACUCACUGCCUCCCCCCCCCCCCCCCCGCCCCGCCCGGAACACAUGACAGCAGUGCUGGGCAGCUGCGCCUGGCCCCCCCUCUCUGGGUCCUCAGGGUCACUCACACCAAUCGCUGGGGCAGGGGGCACAGGAUUGGGCUCAGCCUCCCACCCAGCUGUGACUUCUGAUGGCCUUGUUCUGUGCUGGUUUCCUCCGCGGGAGUCCAUGUGUCCCCCUGGGGGAACAGCUCACGUUUUGGAGGGCAGGGCUGCCACCCUCCUCCUACAGAAGCUAAAGUGCCCAAGCUCGCCUUUCCUUGGAGACGUGUCUCAUUGUGUCGGCACCACACGCAUGAACCCUGGAGUGGACGAGCUGGAAGCCAGCGCCGGCACAGGCCACCCAAGGACCAGGGCCGCUGAGCUGGAGGAGGGGCAGAAGGCCUGGCUGGCGCCGCCCAGGGUGCUCACGCUGGGCCCUCCGGGCACACUGGCUGUGGACCGCUCACCUGGGCUGCUGGCAGCAGGGAGGGCAAGGGCAGGCACAUGGGCCUCUGGCCGGGGAGAGUAGGCGGAGAACAUUGGGAGAACCACGUUCACAGCACAUCUUCCGGGCACGUGUCUCCUGCUGCGCACCGGCCCGGGAAGCCCCCGACCCGUUCACGGGCAAUCAGAGCUGGGGGGCCGGGGAUCGAGCAAUGCAUGUGUCCUUCCUAUUCUGGGGGCAAGUCGGGGCUGGAGGGUUUGGUGGGACUCGUGCAGUGGCAGGCAGGGCUCCUUGGAAACCUAGCUUUGUGUGCUCUGUCCCUGACCUAAGGUGGACUGUGUAUGUCUACGUCCAUUCCCUGCCAGGGUGUCAGCAGGUGGCCCUCCGGUCCCACCUGCCACUGUAGACAUGCUCAGAGACCAACAGAUGCAAAGCCCCAGGUGGCGAUGGCCGGGCAACCAUGGGAGUCCUGCAGCCCCCGUGCGGUCCUGCUCUCGAGAGGGGCGACAGGUGCCAUCAAGCCUCCCCAGGACCCCCAGGAGUCACCAAGUCAGGCUCACAAGUGCCGUCUGCCCAGCCCGACAGCUAGGCUUCCUGUCUGUAGGAAAACCAAUUCCAAUUGUUCUUUUCUCAGCGUGAACUACAAGCAAGCUGAGGUUCUAGAAAUCAAUUACGUUUUAAAACCUGUGU